GAUGAGCAAUCAUCAAUCCCAAAACCAAGGCUGGUCGAGGGAUGCUUAAGUAAAGUGCUGGAGUACACGAGCGGCGGACGGCUGAGUAACGCGUAGGAACAUACCCCAAACUGAGGGAUAAGCACCAAAAAUGGUGUCUAAUACCGCAUGUGGUCUUCGGACUAAAGCUUUAUGCGGUUUGGGAAUGGCCUGCGUACAAUUAGAUUGUUGGUGAGGUAAUGGCUCACCAAGUCAACAAUCGUUAGCUGGUCUGAGAGGAUGAUCAGCCAGACUGGGACUGAAAACGGCCCAAACUCCUACGGGAGGCAGCAGUAGGGAAUUUUCCACAAUGGACAAAAGUCUGAUGGAGCAACGCCGCGUGCAGGAUGAAUGCCUUAGGGUUGUAAACUGCUUUUAUAUGUGACGAAUAUGACGGUAGCAUAUGAAUAAGGAUCGGCUAACUCCGUG
rnacentral:rRNA from 1 species